CCAUAUUUCGAACCAAUAAUUCGAUAUAUAAAUAGGUAUAAAACUCAUUGGAGUUGCUAUAACUAACCACAUAUAACUAUUGUAAUGCCAAUUCACCUAUAUUUUGGUCAAUGGAGUAGACCAAAUGUCCGUACUACACUCGUAUAUGCAUACACAUAUCGAAGUCGUAACAACACCAAUAACGUGAUCAUAUAUGUAUACAUACACAUUCACUAUCUAUAUCAAAGGACUCUGUAAUAAGCAUGUUCUAUAAUUCGAC
rnacentral:lncRNA from 1 species